CGAAGGGGCUAGCGUUACUCGGAAUUACUGGGCGUAAAGGGCGCGUAGGCGGCGUUUCAAGUUAGGCGUGAAAGCCCUGGGCUCAACCUGGGGACUGCGCUUAAGACUGGAAUGCUUGAGGAUGGAAGAGGCUCGUGGAAUUCCCAGUGUAGAGGUGAAAUUCGUAGAUAUUGGGAAGAACACCGGUGGCGAAGGCGGCGAGCUGGUCCAUUACUGACGCUGAGGCGCGAUAGCGUGGGGAGCAAACAGGAUU
rnacentral:rRNA from 1 species